rnacentral:lncRNA from 1 species
UGCAUGAUGCUUUGCCGUUCCAUUGCAAAAAUCCAUCAGCCGCCACGAGCGAUGUCGCCUUCCGAUGUUGCCCGCAACAAGCGAUGGCAAUCAGCAACUUAUUAAGCUUCGCCCCUUGCGCACGGCACCUUGCGGCGCUACUUGUAAGAUGCUUUGCCAUUUUAUUUCCAAAAGCUAUCAGCUGCCACGAGUGAUGUCGCCUCCUGAUGUUUCCCGCAACAACCGAUGGCAAUGAACAUCUAGUGAGCUUUGCCCCAUGCGCGCAGCACCUUGCGGAGCUACUUGCACGAUGCUCCGCCGUUCGUUGUCAAAAGCCAUAAGCCGCCACGGAGGGGGGUUUACAGACACAACCCACAACAAUCAAUGGCAAUAGGAAACUUAAUAAGCUUCUCCCAUGCGCACGGCACCUUGUGGCGCUACUUGCACGACGCUCCGCCGUUCGUUGUCGAAAGCCAUCAGCCGCCACGAGAGAUUCCAGACACAACCCACAAAAACCGAUGGAAAUCAACAACAACUUACUAAGCUUCGCCCCCGCACGGCACCUUACGGCACUACUCACGACACUUUGCCAUUCUGUUGUCAAAAGCCAUCAGCCGCCACGAGCGAUGUCGCCUCCCGAUUUUGUCUGCAACAUCCAAUGGCGAUCAACAAGUACUAAGAUUCACCCCAUGCGCACUGCACCUUGUCGCUCUACUUGCAUGUCAACCCACAACAACCGAUGGAAAUCAACAUCUACUGAGCUUCACCACAUGCGCACGACACCUUGCGGUGCUACUUGCACGACGCUCCGCCAUUCAUUGUCAAAGCCAUCAGCCGCCACGAGAGAUUCCAGACACAACCCACAACAAUCGAUGACAAUCAACAACUACCUACUAAGCUUCGCCCCAUGAGCACGGCACCUUGCAAAGCUACUUGCACGACGCUUUGCCGUUCUGUUGUCAAAAGCCAUCAGCCGCCACGAGCGAUGUUGCCUUCCGAUUUUAAAGGAAAAUAAAAAUGGAGGUCAACAAGUGCUGAGCUUCACCCCAUGCGCAGGGAACCUUGCAGCGCUACUUUCUUUACGCUCCACCAUUCAUUUCCAAAAGAAGAUGUUCGCCACGAGUGGUGCCACCACCAGGUAUACUACAAGCCCACACGAGUACUUGCCGGCGUGGUUUGAGAACAUCGAGGACGUUGCAAGGACAAGACGUGCAUACCCCCAAUGCCCACACCCCAUGCCAGCGUCCCCCAUGCAUGCCCGCCCGUUCCUGGUAGCAAGCACCCAAGGUGCCUCUCAACACCUCUACCCCCCUUUAUAUAUGCUUAUAAAAAACCCAAGUUUCAGGAGUAGACAUGUUUUGGCCAGAGAAUCAUAAUAGAAAUGUACAACACCAAAUAGCACAAACCAAAGUACAACUUUGCUAAUAUGUUCACAAAUGACUUUUAGACAUUGUAAAUGAUAUUUUUAACAAUAAAUAAUAUUUUUUUUGAAAUAUUUUUAAUUAAAAACGAAAUAUACUUAAUAAAAUACAAACAAAUAUGAAAAUCAUUAUAAUAAUAGAAUUAAUGAUGGAGAAAAAUUCCAAUACAUCUUGCAAUAUUAUAACAUAUAAAAGAGUACAUAUUAUUAUUAAAAAGUGACAUAAAAAUAAUUUAAAAUAAUAAAACAUGCAUAAAUAUAACUAAAAAAUAUAUUAAAAAUAGGAAAUAUACAUAAUAUUAUAAUAAAUGCGUAGAGAUGACCAACCGCCAAUAAGCACGAGGCACCUCCAUUGUCGCAAACACAACAAGUGUUUCCGAUUUGAAAAACCCACCGCCAACUACAAAGCGUCGACCAACCGUCGCUGGUGGAUAAUUGCGAACCACCGCGACAUUCCACCACCGCCACCAAAAACCACCAACAUCAUUGCGCUUGACAUGUUGCCCAACCAAUACAAGUGAUACGGAUUCAAAGCAACCACCGCCAACCACCAACCGUCGACUGACCGUCAACAGACGCUACCGCUCGAACCACCAUGACUUUCCACCACCGCCGCCAAAUGAUCACUAGUAUCAUUGCGCUUGAUAUGUUUCAAAGCAUCGAUUAGCAAUAGACGUGGUGCGGCGAUGAACGUCUUGGAGUGACGUGGUGCGGCUUGGUGCGACGUCGUGCCAUGCCCAUUUCCUGUCGCGUCCUGACACGUACCAUGGCCAUAUCCUGCCAUGUCCUGCUGCGUCCUGACUCGUGCCAUGGGCAUGCCCUACCAUGUCCUGCGACGUCCUGAGUCAUGCCAUGGCCACGCCCUGCCAUGUCCUGACGCGUCCUGACUCGUGCCAUGGCACGUGUCACGAAGCAUCAGAACAUGGCUGGGUGUGGCCAUGGCACGAGUCGGGACGUCGCAGAACAUUGCAGGGCAUGGCCAUGGCACAUGUCAGGACGCAUCAGGACAUGACCCCACACCCUGCCAUGUCCUGACGCGUCAUGACACGUGCCAUGUCCUGACGCGCCUAAUGUCUCCUGACUCGUGCCAUGGCCACGCCCUACCAUGUCCUGCGACCUCCUGAUUCGCGUCAUGGCAACGCCCUUCCAUGUCCUAACGCAUCCUGACACGUCCUGACACGUGCCAUGGCUAUGUCCUGAUGCAUCCUGACACGUGCCAUGGCCAUGUCCUGCGACGUCCUAUCUCGUGGCCACGCCCUGCCAUUUCAUGCAACAUCCUAACUCGUGCCAUGGCCACGCCCUGCCAUGACCUGACGCGUCCUGACACGUGCCAUGUCCUGACGCGUCCUGAUGCGUCCCAAUUCGUAUGGCCACGCCCUGCUAUGUUCUGUGACCUCCCGACUCGUGUCAUGGCAACGCCCUGCCAUGUUAUGACGCGUCCUGACAUGUGCCAUUGCCAUGUCCUGAUGCGUCCUGACACGUGCCAUGGCCAUGUCCUAAUGUGUCCUGACACGUGCCAUGGCCAUGUCCUGACGCGUCCUGAUGCAUCCCGACUCGUGCCAUAGCCACGCCCUGCUAUGUACUGCAACGUCCUGACUCGUUCCAUGGCCACGCCCUGCCAUGUUCUGGCGCAUCCUGACUCGUGCCAUGGCCACGCCCUGCCUUGUCCUGACGCGUCCUGACACGUGCCAUGUCCUAACGCGUAUCGAUGCAUUCUGACUCGUGCCAUGGCCACGCCCUACCACGUCCUGCGACCUCCCGACUCGUGUCAUGGUAACGCCCUGCCAUGUACUGACAUGUCCUGACACGUGCUAUGACCAUGUCGUGAUGCGUGCUGACACGUGCAAUGGCCAUGUCCUGCGAAGUCCUAUCUCGUGCCAUGGCCACGCCUUGCCAUGUCCAGCGAUGUCCUCACUUGUGCCAUGGCCACGCCCUGCCAUGUCCUGAUGCGUCCUGAUAUGUGCCAUGUCCUGACGCGUCCUGAUGCGACCCGACUCAUGCUAUGGCCACGCCCUGCCAUGUCCUGCGACGUCCCGAUUCAUGUCCUGGCACGUGCCAUGGUCAUGUCCUGACGCUUCCUAACACGUGCCAUGGCCAUGUCCUGAUACGUCCUGACACAUGCCAUGGUCAUGUCCUGAUGCGUCCUGACAUGUGCCAUGGCCAUGCCCUGCAAUGUUCUGCGACGUCCCGACUCGUGCCAUGGCCACACCCAGCCAUGUUCUGAUGCUUCGUGACACGUGCCAUGGCCAUGUCCUGAUACGUCCUGACUCGUGCCAUGUCUUGACUCAUCUUGCGACGUCCUGACUCGUGCCACGGCCACGUCCUGCCAUGUCCUGACGCGUCCUGACACGUGCCAUGGCAAUGUGCUCACGCGUCAUGACACGUGCCAUGGCCAUGUCUUGACGCGUUCUGCGACGUCCUGACUCGUGCCAUGGCCAUGCCCUGCCAUGUCCUACGAUGUCCCGACUCUUACCAUAGCCAAGUCCUGACGCAUCCUGCGACGUCCUGACUCGUGCCAUGGACACGCCCUGCCAUGUCAUGCGACGCCCUGACUCUUUCCAUGUCCACGCCCUACCAUGUCCUGACGCUUUUCUAACACGUGCCAUGGCCAGUUCCUGACUCCUACCAUGGCCAUGUCUUGACUUGUCGUGCGACGUCCUGACUCGUGCCAUGGCCACGCCUUGCCAUGUCCUGCGACGUCCUGAAAUGUCUCGACCCGUGUCCUGCCAUGUCCUGCGACGUACUGACAUAUCCUGGCCCGUGCCAUGGCCACGCCAUGCUAUUUCCUUGGACGUCCUAACUCAUGCCAUGGCCACGCCUUGCGCUCGUCUCCUAGGACUUGGCCUCUCAAGCGACACCCAGAAAAUCCUUGGCAUAGGCAUCGACCUCUCAAGCGACACGCCGAAAAGCCUCUAGUAGUGUUAUGUGGUUUGGUAUUUCCGUCGUGACUAUGUGUCAAGUCACAUUGUCCCCCUAAUGCACAAAUAGUAUACGUUCCAAGGUCUUGAGGACUUGUUCGAUUUUUCCAACACUUAGUAUAAUAUAGCAUCAAGGUAGGAGUGAACCUCCUACCGGAACAGUUAGAAAAUGAUUUGAUUGGAGGGGGAUGGAAGAAUCGGAGCGACAAAGGGCUGAAUCAUAGUGGAUCGUGGUAGCAAGGCCACUCUGCCACUUACAAUACCUCGUCGCGUAUAUAAGUCGUCUUCAAAGGAUUCUACCUGCCGCUCGAUGGAAAUUGUACUUCAAGGAGGCCACCGCGGCUCUUCCGCCGCGAUGAGUUAGCCAAUGAAACGUGCCCUUGGGGGACAAAGGCCCCUACUACGGGUCGGCAAGCGGAUGGCGGGCGCAUGCGUCGCUUCUAGCCCGGAUUCUGACUUAGAGGCGUUCAGUCAUAAUCCAUCGCACGGUAGCUUCGCGCCACAGGAUUUUCAACCAAACGCGAUGACAAAUUGUGCGAAUCAACGGUUCCUCUUGUACUAGGUUGAAUCACUAUUUUGACACUGUCAUCUGUACGGUAAAACUAACCUGUCUCACGACGGUCUAAACCCAGCUCACGUUUCCUAUUGGUGGGUGAACAAUCCAACACUUGGUGAAUUCUGCU